GAGUGCGUGCGUAUGCUCCAAACCCGAAAGCGACCGCAAAUGCACCGAAUCGUCAAGGUGAACGUCGGAGGGCGUUACUUUCAGACACGCCUCACCACGCUGCUCCGCUUCCCCGACACGUCUUUUGCCAAGAUGUUUGAGGGACUGGCAUCGACGAGCGCCUUACCGCCCACUCCAUCGCCGCCGCCGCAGCCCACAGAGAGCGAGGAUGUGUUUGUGGAUGCUAACCCCGACGUUUUUGAGAAGGUUCUGGGAUUUCUGCGCACCAACCGCAUCCAGCUGCCCUUGAAUGACGAGUGUCUGCGCGCCGAGCUCGUCCAUUAUCUCAAUGCCUGGGACCUCAUGCCGCAUGCCUUCCCUGCGUCUGCUGCAGACGGUGCCGUGGAAGGGGAGGAGGCUCAUCUCAUCGAACUCCCCGACGUGUGCGUGGUGCAGCUGUGCGACCACAUGCAGCACGACCAAGGUGUGAAGCGCCACGCCAUGACUAUCACCUACGGCGCCGACGGGUUUCAGCUCCGAAAACUCACGCAGAUGAUCCGCCGAGACCUGAAUCAGCAGCUCUCCUCCACUUACUGGCAGUGCUACCAAACCAACGAGCGGGCGGCCUUCUUCGCGACCACCAAGGUGGCCAACGGCGCCGCGGACAUUCUCACCACCUCCAUCACGCAGCAAGUUGUCCAGCACACGGAGAGACUCGGCUACCACUUAGCCACCUCAUAUGUGACUCUGAGCCCCGAUGUUGUGCACACGAGCGUGCGCAUGCUCAUCCACAACUUUAUCUUUCGGCGAGUGCGGCUCCCUGCGUUGGAGGCUGCAGAUGAAGCGUCGCUGCUGGGCGAUGGGGGGGACGAGGUGGAGACAUACCAGAACUUUGAGCCGCGCCCUGUGGGCCCGCGAAAGGUGCAGUGGGCGGACUCGCCAUCGAAGCCGCCGGCACAGGACGUCUCCACUGACCUUUGGAAGUAACGUACGCCCAGGUGUGGAUGCACGCGUGGGCGUGCGCGCGCGCACCGUCACCUAAGCAGCUCCUUCACAUUUGAUGCACACUUAUGUGGCUUCAUAAAC
rnacentral:misc_RNA from 1 species